rnacentral:rRNA from 1 species
AACGAACGCUGGCGGCAUGCCUAACACAUGCAAGUCGAACGAGACCUUCGGGUCUAGUGGCGCAAGGGUGCGUAACGCGUGGGAACCUGCCCUUAGGUUCGGAAUAACUCCCCGAAAGGGGUGCUAAUACCGGAUAAUGUCUUCGGGCCAAAGAUUUAUCGCCUUUGGAUGGGCCCGCGUUGGAUUAGCUAGUUGGUAGGGUAAAAGCCUACCAAGGCGACGAUCCAUAGCUGGUCUGAGAGGAUGAUCAGCCACACUGGGACUGAGACACGGCCCAGACUCCUACGGGAGGCAGCAGUGGGGAAUAUUGGACAAUGGGCGAAAGCCUGAUCCAGCAAUGCCGCGUGGGUGAUGAAGGCCUUAGGGUUGUAAAGCUCUUUUACCCGGGAUGAUAAUGACAGUACCGGGAGAAUAAGCGCCGGCUAACUCCGUG